CGCACGGGUGAGGAACGCGUGGAUAAUCUGCCUUAGAGUGGGGGAUAACUAGUCGAAAGAUUAGCUAAUACCGCAUAAGACCACAGGAGCUGCGGCUCUAGGGGUCAAAGGUUUUUCGCUCUAAGAUGAGUCCGCGUAAGAUUAGCUAGUUGGUGAGGUAACGGCUCACCAAGGCGACGAUCUUUAACUGGUCUGAGAGGAUGAUCAGUCACACUGGAACUGAGACACGGUCCAGACUCCUACGGGAGGCAGCAGUAGGGAAUAUUGCACAAUGGAGGAAACUCUGAUGCAGCGACGCCGCGUGAGUGAUGAAGGCCUUCGGGUCGUAAAGCUCUGUCGCAGGGGAAUAACACAAUGAAUGUACCCUGUAAGAAAGGAUCGGCUAACUUCGUGCCAGCAGCCGCGGUAAGACGAGGGAUCCUAGCGUUGUUCGGAAUUAUUGGGCGUAAAGCGGAUGUAGGUGGCUUUGUAAGUCAGAUGUGAAAGCCCAGGGCUCAACCCUGGAAGUGCAUUUGAUACUGCGAAGCUUGAGUGUCGGAGAGGUUACUAGAAUUGUUGGUGUAGUGGUGAAAUACGUAGAUAUCAACAGGAAUACCGGAGGCGAAGGCGGGUAACUGGCCGAACACUGACACUGAGAUCCGAAAGCGUGGGGAUCAAACAGGAUUAGAUACCCUGGUAGUCCACGCCGUAAACGAUGGAUACUUGUUGUUGGAGGUAUUGACCCCUUCAGUGACGAAGCUAACGCGUUAAGUAUCCCGCCUGGGGAGUACGGUCGCAAGAUUAAAACUCAAAGAAAUUGACGGGGGCCCGCCACAAGCGGUGGAGCAUGUGGUUUAAUUCGAUGCAACGCGAAGAACCCCACCUAGGCUUGACAUGUACUGGAAGACUGGCACAAAUGUCGUCGCCCGCAAGGGUCGGUACACAGGUGCUGCAUGGCUGUUGUCAGCUCGUGUCGUGAGAUGUUGGGUUAAGUCCCGCAACGAGCGCAACCCCUGCAUUUAGUUGCCAGCAUUCAGUUGGGCACUCUAGAUGGACUGCCGGUGUUAAACC
rnacentral:rRNA from 1 species